rnacentral:rRNA from 1 species
UACGGAGGAUGCGAGCGUUAUCCGGAUUUAUUGGGUUUAAAGGGUGCGUAGGCGGACUGUCAAGUCAGCGGUAAAAUUGAGAGGCCCAACCUCUUCCCGCCGUUGAAACUGGUGGUCUUGAGUGGAUGAGAAGUACGCGGAAUGCGUGGUGUAGCGGUGAAAUGCAUAGAUAUCACGCAGAACUCCGAUUGCGAAGGCAGCGUACCGGCAUCCAACUGACGCUAAGGCACGAAAGCGUGGGGAUCAAACAGG